rnacentral:rRNA from 1 species
CCAGACUCCUACGGGAGGCAGCAGUGGGGGAUAUUGCACAAUGGGGGGAACCCUGAUGCAGCGACGCCGCGUGGGUGAAGAAGCGCCUCGGCGCGUAAAGCCCUGUCAGCAGGGAAGAAAAUGACGGUACCUGAAGAAGAAGCCCCGGCUAAAUACGUGCCAGCAGCCGCGGUAAUACGUAUGGGGCAAGCGUUAUCCGGAUUUACUGGGUGUAAAGGGAGCGCAGGCGGCCUGGCAAGCCUGAUGUGAAAUGCCGGGGCCCAACCCCGGGGCUGCAUUGGAAACUGCCAGGCUGGAGUGCAGGAGAGGCAGGCGGAAUUCCUAGUGUAGCGGUGAAAUGCGUAGAUAUUAGGAGGAACACCAGUGGCGAAGGCGGCUUGCUGGACGGUGACUGACGCUGAGGCUCGAAAGCGUGGGGAGCAAACAGGAUUAGAUACCCGAGUA